UAGUUUACUAAUUCUGGUGCUUUUGUUUACUCCUGCAUUUCAUAUUUUCUUUAGGACAGGAACCCUUAGAUUUUUUCUUGUUUAAUCAACUUAAGCUUUACCAUCCGUACGGAGAAGGGAAGCAAUAAAUAUUUUGAUUUUCUUGGUGGCAGCUUCUUUUCUCCUGUACUUGCAGUGAAGGCUUAGUUUUCCUCUGCUGAGUUCUGUUUCGAAGUUUCCUUUCGUUUUGGUGAGUGCCUUUUUGAGAAUGUUUACUGAUUUUGGAUAUUGUUACUAGACUGAGUUUUUUCAUGAAGCACAUUAUUUUGUUUUCCCAGCUCUAAAACCUAUAUUUUUCCUCUGCUUCCAUGUGAAAAAUUCAGUUGUUCCUUGAACAGCUGAACAUCAUUCUUCAGAGAAAGGAAGAUUCCGUAAGGUGUAUACAUCUUGAUUCUUUGCCUUGAUAUUAUUCCUGUAUUUGAGUCCAGCAUGCAUUCAUAAUCGUCAGCAACUGGUCAUCAUGUGGCUUGAAUUGAAUCCAAACUUUUCUGUUCCCUGCAUAAAUUGAAAACUAAACGAGUCUCAGUUGACAAGGUUCUUUCUCUGUGUCAGUCUGGAUGAGUUAAUAAUGAGGAGUCGAGAUCAGUCAAUAUCCGACUAUGUUGUAAUGUUUUUCAGAUUUGUAACCUCUGGUGAAAUACGAAAGCGUUCCAAGUUCUUCAGACCCUUUAUUUUGGGAUUAACAAAUGCAACAGUGGAACAGGUUUGUUUUAUUUAAAUUUUUUGUAUGCUCACUAGCACUUGACAUCCUUUCAUGCAUUAUCAGGAAUUGUUCUUUUUUUUGAAUUCUUUCCCCUUUAAAACAACAGUGCAAAUAAGAGUUGUAACAUAUCCUUUUGAUUAGUAGGAAACGAUCUCAAUUUUCUUUUA